rnacentral:rRNA from 1 species
CGACCGGCGCACGGGUGCGUAACGCGUAUGCAACCUACCAUCAACAGGGGGAUAACACUGAGAAAUUGGUACUAAUACCCCAUAAUAUCUCAUGCGGCAUCGCAUGGGGUUGAAAACUCCGGUGGUUGAUGAUGGGCAUGCGUUGUAUUAGCUGGUUGGUGAGGUAACGGCUCACCAAGGCGACGAUACAUAGGGGGACUGGGAGGUUAACCCCCCACAUUGGUACUGAGACACGGACCAAACUCCUACGGAAGGCAGCAG